UAAUCUUCGCGAUGGCGUUCCACUUCCUGCCCCCAUGUUCUCCACAAGAAACUGCUGGACGAUCUUUUAAAGUCUCUGCUCAGCCUCGCCUCAUUGUGCUCCGAUCGUCAGCAUGGGUGGGUGUUUGCCACACCACUCAUAUUGCCGCGGAUGGUAAUACCGUCUCCUUCUGAUGUUUGAAUAUGCACAGUUUUUAAUCUAUGUCGGCAAGGUCUGAUGGAAAUGGAAGUAAAAUACAAUUUGAAAAUAAAUCUUGGUGAUGUUUAUGCUCCACUGUUUACACUAUGUUUUUUUGAAACUUUGCUGCGUCAAUGCUAACAAGUUCAUUAGAUGUUUGUUUGUGCAGACUUUUUAAUAUAUGUUGGCAAGGUCCGAGUAAAAUGGAAGCAGAUUAAUUGCAGUUUGAAAGUAAUUCCGGGUAAUCUUUAUGCUCCAUUGCUUACUGAAUAUGUUUUCUGAACCUUUGCUGCAGUGAGUGAUAACAAGUUCAUUAGUUCAUAUCCCUCGAAAAAAAAUCGUUAGCUCAUAUAGCAAUUCAUAAUUUGCAAUUUGGAACAUAAUGAGUUCAAUAAGUGUAUGAUCCAUAUUUAUCUUAUGGACUAUAAGUUAUCUAUCUAGUAGUGUAGUAAUAAUAUCCGGUGUCUCAUCUUGAUAGGUAUGACCCAUUGUUACUCUUUUUCUUGAAUACACGUAGCGUGCGUAUCAUAUUAUAUAGAAAGAUGGGUGGGGCUUAGCGCCAAAUCCACCAUGUGGUAAAACAAAGUUUUACACCACUCACUCUACUCCACGUUCUAAUACAAGAAAAGGAUUACUCUCACCUAAUCCACGCGUCCACCACUCCCAUUGCUACUCAUAAUCUUUCUUUAGCAUUAUAAUUGCUUAAAAUCUAGCAUACAAUAGCAUUGCACUGCAGUCCUCUCUCCUUCGCCGCUAUGUUUCUCUUAGAUCCCUAAUCCCCUAUUCCUUUUACAUUACUGAGUCAGAAGGUCAUUUUGAGUAUUGAUGAAAUUUCUAUUGAUUUUGAAUCAGUGUCCAUCAGAGAUUAAGACUGAACAGUCAGUACCGCCACAAUAGUGAUCUAUACAUUAUUUGAUGUUGUUGUGAAAAUCUUUUAUCUAUGCUUCUAUUAUUGAUCUACAUGUCGAUUGUGCAGAUUUUUUUCCAUUGUCUAUCAACAAGUUGUUUGAUGAAAACCAAGGCAGGCCAGCGAUCUUCCUUAAGUCUUAUUCCAGCUAAUCUACGGUUAUCUUCUUCUUACGUUCAUGUACUAGGUCAUCUCUCUUUUGUAUAACCUAUACAUGUACCAUGUAUCUCCUUCACAUUAACAUAAUAGGUCAGUUUUGAACAAAGAUUGAAGUGUGCAUGCAGCCUUGCAAAACAUGGUGUUUUUUUUGUAUGUACAGUCUGCUCGGACAGUAGUUUUUUUUUUCUAUUGUCCUGGUUGUAUGUUGUAGAUAUACUUACAGCCAAGGAUCUGGAGUGAAUCCUGCCAUGCAAAAUAUUAUGCAUAUUAAAUUGAUUUGUAAGUAUAGAAUUUUGUUAUCCCAUUCAGUUUAUUUGAAUUUUGCCAUUGGUUGUACAAUCAACUUCUGAUCAUUGCAAGAGAUUUUUUUCAUUUGGGUCUAUAUAUAUCUUUGUAAAAUAUAUCAAGUAUACAUAAUCUGAUUUCAUUGUUUAUAUAUGUAGUUAAAGUUAGCCAGAUUGUCUGCAUGUCAUGUUGUAAUUGUACUUGCAUGGCCAAGUAGUUCUAGUCCACGAAGGUUAAUUUAUUAUCCAUAAGCCAUACAUCUAAUUAUUGUUGGAAUCUUGUUUUCAAACUUUGAAGAAUGAAUGCAUUACUACAAUUGCUUCAUUUGUUUGAUAAGCUUACUGCUAUUUGCAAGAUUAACUGAAACAACAUAGG
rnacentral:lncRNA from 1 species